AUGUAUGUAUGUAUAUACGUACAUAUGUAUACAUAUAUACGUACAUGUAUGUAUACAUAUGUGCGUAUACACACACACACACACACAUACAUAC
rnacentral:miRNA from 1 species